rnacentral:rRNA from 1 species
CUAUACAUGACUCUGCGCAUAUCAAUAAGCGGAGGAAAAGCCUACCUACGCUUAGGAUGUUGAAGAUAUGCGCGACACGACUCUAUACAUGACUCUGCGCAUAUCAAUAAGCGGAGGAAAAGAAACUAACAAGGAUUCCCUUAGUAACGGCGAGUGAAGCGGGAAGAGCUCAAAUUUGAAAUCUUCAAGGUUUUACCUUGACGAAUUGUAGUUUAAAGAAGUGUUUUCUGUUGAAGUUUUGGUAAAAGUUCUUUGGAAUAGGACAUCAUAGAGGGUGAGAAUCCCGUAUUUGACCAUUAUUUUCAGCUGUGUGAUACACUUUCAAAGAGUCGGAUUGUUUGGGAAUGCAGUCCAAAAUGGGUGGUAAAUUUCAUCUAAAGCUAAAUAUUGGCGAGAGACCGAUAGCGGACAAGUACCGUGAGGGAAAGAUGAAAAGAACUUUGAAAAGAGAGUUAAACAGUACGUGAAAUUGUCAAAAGGGAAGCGUUUGACACCAGUGUUGUUUUCUCGAAAAUCAAUUAAAAAAGGCCGGAUUUUGUGUUGUAUUGACCUUAAAAGCUUUCUUCACUCUUUUCUUGUCUUUUUUAAUGCACUUUUCGUUUAACAAGUCAACAUCAGUUUCUUUUGUUGUAAAAGGGUCAUUGGAAGGUGGCUUUCUUUUCGGAGAAAGUGUUUAUAGCCUUCGAUCUCUGCAACCGGAGAGACUGAGGUCUGCAGCGUAGACUCUUCGGGGUUAAAUACAUUUGUGCUAAGCUAUAGCUUUUUAUAGACAACUUGUUGACUAUAUUUAGUCUUGUAGCUUACUCGCUUAUGCUAUUUUACCUACGCUUAGGAUGUUGAAGAUAUGCGCGACAC